AUAAUGUUAUAAUUAUUUGAUAGAUAAAUUAAUUUUAGGUUUACUUAAUGAUUAAUGAAAAAAUUAGAAUAAUGAUAGAUUAUUAGUAUUGUGAAAGAAUGACUUUAAAUUAUUAAAAGUAGAUUAUUUAUUGUACCUUGUGUAUCAGGGUUUAUUAAAAUUUUUUAAUUACAUUAAAUUUUUAGAAUUUUUAAGAGUAAAGAAAUUAUAUAUUUAAUUGUAAAAUAAAUUUUUAUAAUUUUUUUUUAGUAAUGAAACGUUAUUCGUUUAAAAAUAUAUCUAAUUUUUAAAGAAAUAAAUUUAAUUUAAUAAUUUAUAUGUUUAUUAUUUUUGAAUAUUAAAUAUAAUAAGUUUUAAAUAUUUUAAGGGAUAAGCUUUAAAAUAAAUUAGUUAAAAUAGAUAUUUAUAUUAAAAUAUAUAUAAUUAUAAAUUUUAAUUAUUAAUAGUUUGUUAUAAUUAAUUUUAAUUAAAGUAUAAUUUUAAUUGGUUUAUAAUUAUUUAUUUAAAUGAUUUUAUAAAUAAAAUUUAAAGUUUAAUAAUGAUAAAAUUAGUAUAAAUUAAAAUUAAUAAUAUAAUUUAUUAUAGGUUAUUUAAAGGAAUUCGGCAAAAUUUUAUUUCGCCUGUUUAAUAAAAACAUGUCUUUUUGAUUAUAAUUUAAAGUCUAAUCUGCCCACUGAUAAAUUAAAGGGCCGCAGUAAUUUGACUGUGCGAAGGUAGCAUAAUAAUUAGUUUUUUAAUUGAAAGCUAGAAUGAAUGAUUGGACGAGAAUAAAACUGUCUUUAUUUAAUUUAAUUAAAAUUUAAUUUUUAAGUUAAAAAGCUUAAAUAUUGUUUAAAGACGAGAAGACCCUAUAGAGUUUAAUAUUGUAAAUUUACUUAAUUAUUAAAAUUAUUUUCUAAGUUUAAUAGUAAAUAUUUUAUUGGGGUGAUAAAAAAAUUUGUUAAACUUUUUUAUAAUUUAAACAAAGGAUUUUGAAUAUUUGAUCUUAAAUAUAGAUUAGUUGAUUAAAUUACCUUAGGGAUAACAGCGUAAUUUUUUUGGAGAGUUCUUAUUGAUAAAAAAGAUUGCGACCUCGAUGUUGGAUUAAGAUUAAGUUUUAAUGAAGAAGUUAAAAAUUUUAAGUCUGUUCGACUUUUAAAAUCUUACAUGAUCUGAGUUUAAACCGGUGCGAGCCAGGUUGGUUUCUAUCUUAAAUAUAUUAUUUUAUUUUAGUACGAAAGGACCAAAUAAA
rnacentral:rRNA from 1 species